UUACGGCCAUAUCACGUUGAAACACCGGGUCUCAUAAGAUCACCGAAGUUAAGCAACGUCGAGCUUGGCCAGUACUUAGAUGGGUGACCGCGUGAGAAUACGGAGCGCUGUA